rnacentral:rRNA from 1 species
AUACGGAGGGUGCAAGCGUUAUCCGGAUUUAUUGGGUUUAAAGGGUGCGUAGGCGGUUUGAUAAGUCAGCGGUGAAAUAUUUCAGCUUAACUGGAAGGGUGCCGUUGAUACUGUCGAGCUUGAAUUUAGUUGCUGUGGGUGGAAUGUGUGGUGUAGCGGUGAAAUGCAUAGAUAUCACACAGAAUAUCGAUUGCGAAGGCAGCUCACAAAGCUAAUAUUGACGCUGAUGCACGAAAGUGUGGGGAUCAAACAGGAUUAGAUACCCUGGUAGUCCACACUGUAAACGAUGAUAACUCGCUGUCGGCGAUACAUAGUCGGGGGCCAAGCGAAAGCGAUAAGUUAUCCACCUGGGGAGUACGACCGCAAGGUUGAAACUUAAAGGAAUUGACGGGG